UAAAUUUAAUUAAAGACAUUUACAUAUUUGAAAUCAAUCACUUUUUGAUGUUUUUCUACGCUUUUUUUCAAACAGUUUGAGUCAUAAUUUCUUUGUUUCAUAAUAAAAAUUACAUUUUUAUUUUUAUAGUUAUAGUACCUAAGUAUUAUAGUUUGAAUUCAAAUUUACACCAACAAUAUAUAAUUGUGCCAAGUUGUGAAUAAAACAAGAGCUUAUAUAUAUAUUUUGUAUCGUAAUAAAAUGGCUAGUUACUUUUUCUUUUCAAAUAAUUAGUUUGUACUUAAAAUAAGCUUACAAAUAGUUUUAGCAAAGCAGAAAAUCGAAAAUGUAACCAAAGCUCAAGUAAUUUAAGUGCAGCAGACAACAACAAAGAAAUUAUAAAUUAACGGAAAAUUCAAUAAGUAUAUGCUAACAUAUCAAAAUAUGCAAACAAUAGCUAAAGUGUAUAAUACAAAAACAAAUAACAUUUGCUCUUAAACAGCUUACGACUUAACAUACCAACAAACAUACAUUACAUAUAUAUGUACUUGUAAAACUACAUAAAUAGAGCAACAUUAAAUCGUUAAAAGGACACUCAAAAAGACAAAUUCUAAAUCAAGCAAUUUAAGGUUGCUCAAAUCAUUCAACAGAUAUCUUCCCUCUGUUGCUAUUUGUUGUUGGUGUAGAAUUAAACUAAACAAAACAAUAAUAAAAAAACACAUUACAGACAGUGCAGUUGUUGCAAAAUUUAAAAAUAGAUAACCAUACUUAAUCAUGAAUACCAUCCUACAUAAAAUGAAAGCUUUAAAAAAUGUUUGAAAAAAAAAUAAAUAAAAAAAUAAUUACAAAAAAUAUUUUCCUAAAAGUAACUCAAAAUUCAAGUUCCUCGUAAACAUAAACAAUAACCACAUUUCAAAAUUAUGCUGUUAGACGAAAAAUUUAGUUCCUCGCGUAGAAAGUGUACUUUUUGUUGAUUAAAAUAUUUUAUAACCUUAAAUUUGCAACGAAAAUAAAAUUAAGAAGUUUUGGAGUUACUGAAUCAUUGCAUAAAAUUAUUAAAGAAAUAAAUACCCAAACCCGAAAAGAUUAUAAGCGAGUGUUCUCUCAAGUGAUAAGAGCGAUAAGACAUUAUAAAAUCUCUAACUUAUUCAUCGGUUAUCCAAAAGUGGAUGAGUAUGAACUCAAGUGAAUACUUUUCGGGAGAGUACAGAUUCAUAUCCACUCAUGAACAAAGCUUACUUGCUUUGAAAAGUUUCACAGAGCUUUUUUUAUAUAGAUUUACAUUAAAGUCCCAUUAGAAGUAGCUGUAGUCCCUUUGUUAUUAAAAAAAUCAGUCCCGUUUGCUUCAGAAACUAUUCAAAUUAAUUGAAGACUACUCAGGCUGCCUACGUUGAUUGAAGGGCACCCCUAGUGACAGCCACAAAAGUUCAAUCUUUAUGAAAAAUUCGUGAGUAGCAUUACAUAAAGAGUGAACCAUUUCGAGGCAUCCUACUUUUUUAAAGAAAAAACACAGAAACUUCAAAUUUAAUGGGGAAUGUUUAUUAUAAUUCGAAAGAACAUUCUUUGGCAUUUAUUUUUUGGAGUUUAUCUCAUUCAAAUGUUGACCGCGUCGACGUCUCAGAUGGCCCAUCCGUUGAGUCCCAUUUUCGAUGACUCGUUCAAGCAUUUCGACUGGCAACUGACGAACGAUAUGAGUGAUUUUUUUUGCUCCAAAGCCUGAAUUGAAGCGGAAUUGUUCGCAUAGACUUUAGACAUUACAUAUUCCCAUAGAAAAAAGUAUAAAGGUGAGAUAUCACACGAUCUUUGUGGUUAAUCGACCGGCCCAAAAAGUGAAAUUAUCUGCUCAACGAAGUGUUCUCUCAAUAAAUCCAUUGGUUGAUGCGAUGUGUGGGAAGUGGCGCCGUCUGGUUGAAACCAAAUGUCGCCGAGAUCACGAGCUUCAAUUUUAGGCAUCAAAUGGUCGGCUAUUAUGAAGCCGGUCGCCAUUGACGAUUAUGUUCUCACCGGCAUUAUUUUUGAAGAAAUAUGGACCGAUGAUUCCACCGUCCCACAAACCACACCAAACUGUUGUUUUUUCCGGAUGAAAUGCCAACUCUUGAAUGUCUUCCGGUUGCUCUUCGUCCAAAAUGCGGAAAUUCUGCUUGUUUACAUACUCAUUGGAUAAGAAAUGGGUCUCAUCACUGAACAAAAUUUUGCUCGCAAAUAUUUAAUCUUCUUGGAACUUUUCAAGAGCCCAUAGAGCGAAACGAUGUUGCUUUGAAAGGUCGAUCGGGUUCAGUUCUUGCACAAGCUGUAUUUUGUACGUUUUUAAUUUAAGACCUCGUCGUAAAAUGCGCUUAAUUGUUACAUAUGUCAGUUCGAGUUACUGCGAACGGCGCCGAACCGACUCUUCAAGGUCUUCAUUUACAGUCUCAGCUACGGCUACUGUAUUUUCUUCACUGCGUGUUGGACGUGGUAUAUUCGGUCGAAUAUUAUCCAAAAAUGAAUGAUGGGUCUCAAGAUGGGUGAUGGUGUUGCGAAUAGUACGCUCAGUAGGCCGAUUAUGUUGACCAUAAGUUGAGCGGAGCGCGCGAAACACAUUCUUUAUAGAACGUGAAUUUUCGUAGAAAACAAUAAUUGAUCAAUUUGUAAACGUUGUAAGGCGUUUCCGUCAUGAAAUUCGUAACAAUAAUGAACAAAAAUAACAUGGCAGCUUGACUCGACUCGACUCGACUCGCGUGACCUGUCAGGAAAAGGCUAUUGAUAAAAGUACCUCUACUUGGAUUACCCUUUAUAGGAAAAAAUCAAUUAGUGUGAAAUCCUCUCUAAAGUUUAUAGUAGAUCGAAGAUUUUUAGCUCAUAUAAUAAUUUUCGAUAAUUUCCUUAAAUGCACAAAUAUCAUUUCCUAAACUACCUCAAACUGAAAAUGUAUAUACUCAAUUAAUACUGAGGAGAAGAAAACACGGAGUUAGAUAAAGUCAUGUCAUUAUCAUUCGCUUAGAAUAAAAAAAGAUAUUUUUCGGCAAUCCUAAUGAAAAUUUGUUUCCUUUAUAACUGCACUGUCUGCGCAUAAACGAAGUAUUUUAAUAAUGGGCAAUAUAUCCGUCUGAGUGUAGUAAAACAAGUAAAAAUACAACAAAUAAAAAUUAGCUUAAAGCAUCUUUUAGCAUAAAUAUUACAACUGGAAACAUGAAAGCAUAACUGUGUAUUUUUGAAAAUUUAGAGCAUAUGAUACGUAUAUUAUUCAUAUAUUUUCUUUCAGUGUAUGUAUUGUAUUAUACGAAAAAUUUUUUGGCUUAAAUUUUUUUACUUAUGCAUUUUAACUUUUUUAACAAAAUAAUAAAAUAUUAUUAUUACUUUAAGUAAUUAUACUACUUUCAAGAAUUCUGUUAAAAAUUCUUCAUAUUUCUUCUUCAAUUUGCAAAGCGUGAAUAUUUUUAGACAUUCUACUAUGAGCAAAAAAUAGUAAAACUUUGUUCAUAAUUUUAAAAAUUUUAAAUUAUUCUUGAAAGUCUAUGUCGUCCCCCUCAAAGUAUUCCCACUUGACCCUAAUACACUAGUGACAACGUUUCUUCUAAUCUAGUGUUAAAGUCAAUUUCCAUAAUGACUUUCAAUGUGCCUAGCGACUCACGUUUAAUGGCUUUCAUUGGUUCAAAAAGGUUACCCCGGAACGGUCCUUUGAGUUUGCUCAAAAGCCAAAAGUCAGUCAGAGCUAAAUCGGUGAAUACGGCGGUGUUGGCACGAUCUUAGUUGAAAAUUUGGCGAAAAACUCACGAUGAAACAAUGCAGUAUGCGGCGGUGCAUUAUCGUUGUACAAAAACUAAGUAUUCCUUCCUGACAGUUUGGUCGGUCGCAAGUAACUCGGAGUGCAUUACCACACCUAAAUAAUCGAAGAAAACGAUGUUUACCUUGAUCUUUGUCAUGCUUUGACGUGUUUGUUUCGACUUCUGCUCACCUUUACAACGAUAUUCGGUCGAUUGAUCUGUUUGCCAAUCGUAAGCAUAGUCCGAGUCCCUCCUCCAGUAGUAAUACAUUUCAUGAUAUGCUGGUAGUCGAAAAGCAUUGUUUCACAGACGUUAACGCGACGCUGAUUUUCAAAAUAAUCGAGUUAUUUUGGAACCAUUGGUGCUUUCACUUUUCUUAUGCCCAAAUGACCUUCCAAAAUGAUUUUCACUGAUCUUUCCGUUAUUACAACAAUGCCAGUAAGAUCUCUGACUGUUAAUCGUCGACUUCCAAGCACCAAUUCAUUCAUUUUAUUGAUCAUGAGUUGAUGUUGAUGGCCUGGUUCGUCGUCGACGCGUUCUCAACCUCUUUUAAUAAUUUGUAUUUUUCCCACAGUAGUAUGGCCAAGAAAUUAGCUUUAUCAUAGAGGCAAAGGUUUGCUAUUUUCCUUCAAAUAUGAUUUCCGACAAGUAACUGCUAUAGCUGGGUCGAACAAAUUCAGCGAAAGGCGUCAAUCGUGUCCGGUUUUCUGCGUAGACAAGCGAUUUUAAAUAAUCCUACAAAACAAAGUCGUGUGUUAAAUCGCACGAUCUUGGAUAUAACGCAACAGGCUCACGAUCUGAGAUAAAGCGCUUACCAAAAGUUUCCUUCAAUAAAUUGAUUUUUGUUUUGUUGGCAUCUAGUGACGUUUUGUUGAGACCGAAGAACGUUCACAUCGACAUCCACCAAUUCAGGCACGAAAAAGUCACUAAUUAUGGCUCUAUAGCGUUCCCCAUUGACUGUGAAAUUAUAGUCGGCUUCUUUUUGAAGAAAUAUGUAGCAAUGAUUCCCUCUGCGCAUAUAGCACAACAAUGGCUUGCGCAUUAAUAUCACUCCAAAUGCGAUAGUUUUAUCGAUUAACUUACCCAAACAGUGAGCUUGAUCACUGAACAAAAUUUUCUUAUGAAAAAGGGGAUCGAUGGCCAUCUACUUUGGAAAUAAAUUUGCCUAAUUUGCAAACGUUGUUUCGAAUCAGAUCGGUUCCUUAUGAAAUGACAAACCAGCCUAAGUAACAGCUGUCAAAAAGACCAAUUCCGAAAAUGGUUUUGUUCCAUUAAAAUCCACAGGUCUAAAAAACCACUCAUUAUAUGGUUGUUAAUUCAGAAUAUAGAAACAAAAAUCGGAAAACCACACCAAUAUAGCUGGUGAAAUUUUUUCGGAGGUUUUGUCAUAUCAUUAGCCCAGACCUUACGUUUCAAGGUUAGCAGUUUUCUGCUGAUCAAUCCAGAUGCAAACGACCAAACGAUAUACUAUAACACUUCGGAGUAGUACAAGUAUGUACAGCAUGUUUCUGAUGAUAUUUCGUCAGAGCACUUGCCAUUUGAAAUUUUUCAAUUCAAACUUUCGAUAAACUGAUAUGGAACUUUGGAAUAUGACUUUCAUUGCUCACUUGUAGUGAAUAGUUUAACCUUUGCGAUUUCGGUAAGCUUUGUGAAAGAAUUUUAAAACGGUACAAGAGAAAUUGAACUUUUGUACAAAAAACUUAUAUGAAAGUUUGAAACAUGGAUUUAAUUGCGAUCAAUGGUCGAUCAUGUAAGCUUUUCGUGGCUUUCAUCAAUUCUCAUUUAGAGAAAAAAUAAUUGACCAGCUCUAAUAAAUAUAUAGGCAUCCUGCAAAUCGAGCUUUAAUUUCCACAAUUUCAUUAUUAGUUAGUAAUACUAAUUAGUUUUUCAGCGCAAAAAAAAAAAAAAAAAAUAAACAAACUAAAUGUUAUUCGAGCUUGAAUCAAAUUCAUUAUAUAACGAACACUGCAGUAACGAAAGUAUUAUUUAAUUAUAGCAAAAAAAACGAAAAAAUAGAAAUUCAAAAAUAUGGAAAAAAGCUUAUGAAUGUGACAGCUAUUGGAUAAAUCAAUGUGGAAAAACAAUACCUAAAUUUUAGCAAUUUGUGAGCAUUAGGACGCGACCGCUUACAGCCUUUGGCGCGUAAAUUUGACGUGGUAAAUGAGAAAAACAUUAAACAUGUGCGGUGAAAGAAUGCAUUUAGUUAGUUUAGUAAAAUAAUUCCUAAGAAAUAAGUAAUAAAACAACCUUAGAGAAAAAGAAAAUAUAAAAACAACAAAAACUUAGAUUUCAUGAAUUUUUGUAACCCUGUCAGGCAUGUGUAAAACAACCACUCUCAAAUUCAUAAAACAUAAACAUUUCAUUUCAUAUGCAAUAUAUAUUCACAUACACUCAUACAUUCAAAUACACUCAGUAAAUAUGGCAAACAUUUACCUCACCCACACAUUCAUAACAAUCAUUUCAGUCAUGUUUACUUUCAUUCUACAAAUCAUAAAUUCCUUUUGUUUGCCUAUGCGCCUAUAAAUAUGCAAGGCUUUAUACAUAUGUUUACAUUUCAUACUAAACAAAACUGUAGUUUUAAGUUUAUCUAACUGUAACAAACCCUGCAUAAAUAUGUAAAAUAAACUCUAUUGUAUAAUGAAAUAGUUAA